rnacentral:lncRNA from 1 species
UUUCUUUUUUUUUUUAAUGAAUUAAAAGUUUAAUUCUGAACCAUCUUUAUAACCGCAUCUGGUGAAGCAUUGUAUCACGGCAGGUUACAACAACUUUGGGAAAAGGCAACUGGUCUACUGUCCAAAACAAGAAGGCUCAAGUAACACCUCUUACUGAUUUACCCCACCGCACGUAUCCCCAAUAAAGUUCUUGUUCAAAAACAUGAAAUAGGUCCACCUGCUUAUUUUAAGCAUAUUAAAAAGGAAACUAAUCGGACCAUUUCUAUCUGUCUAUUUAUACAAAAGGCUACACAAUGUUACACGUCUCCAGAUUACAAUUAGCAUUGAUUAUGAAUUAGUGUUCUACACCAUUACUCAGUUCUUAGAAAUCAGAAAUUGCUGUAGCCGGUUCACUAGAACAUAACACUACGA